rnacentral:rRNA from 1 species
AAAGUCGUAACAAGGUUUCCGUAGGUGAACCUGCGGAAGGAUCAUUAUCGUACAACAGAGGUGCGAGGGCUGUCGCUGACCUUUCCAAAGGUCGUGCACGCCCGAGUGCUCUCGACUACAAUCCACCUCACCCCUUGUGCACAACCGCGUGAGGUCUCCCCUUUGGCUCGUUCCGAGGGUGGCUCACGUUUUUCAUACAAACACCCUUUUAGUUUGGAAUGUCAUUCAUUUGCGAUCACACACGCAAUCAAUACAACUUUCAACAACGGAUCUCUUGGCUCUCGCAUCGAUGAAGAACGCAGCGAAAUGCGAUACGUAAUGUGAAUUGCAGAAUUCAGUGAAUCAUCGAAUCUUUGAACGCACCUUGCGCCCCUUGGCAUUCCGAGGGGCACACCCGUUUGAGUGUCGUGAAAUUCUCAAACCCAUUUGGUUUCUUGACCAAGAAGGGUUUGGAUUUUGGAGGGAUUUUGCUGACUUCAAGACAAGUCAGCCCCUCUUAAAUGCAUUAGUGGAGUCCUCUUUGCGGAUCCUCGGACGUGAUAAGAUGCUUCUACGUCUUGGGAUUUGUACUGUUCUUUAGGAACCUGCUUACAACCGUCUCCCAUGAGACAUCGUUCGAGUUUGCUCGACCCACGAACCUUGACCUCAAAUCNGGUGAGACUACCCGCUGAACUUAA